rnacentral:rRNA from 1 species
CCUACGGGUGUCAGCAGUGAGGAAUAUUGGUCAAUGGCCGGGAGGCUGAACCAGCCAAGCCGCGUGAAGGACGAAGGUGCGAAGCAUUGUAAACUUCUUUUGUCAGGGGACAAAAUCAGGCUCGAGAGCCUGACCGAGGGUCCUUGAAUAACAAGCAUCGGCUAACUCCGUGCCAGCAGCCGCGGUACUACGGAGGAGGCGCGCGUUAUCCGGAUUUAUUGGGUUUAAAGGGUGCGUAGGCGGACUGUUAAGUCAGCGGUAAAAGCCCGGGGCUCAACCCCGGCGCGCCGUUGAAACUGGCUGUCUUGAGAUGUCGAGAGGUAUGCGGAAUGCGCAGUGUAGCGGUGAAAUGCUUAGAUAUUGCGCAGAACUCCGAUUGCGAAGGCAGCAUACCGGCGGCGAUCUGACGCUGAGGCACGAAAGCGUGGGUAUCGAACAGGAUUAGAUACCCGUGUAGUC